CGCAGUAGCCAUAUAAACCCCGGGGCCGUGACCGCGGUGCCGAGUACCAACAGAAACCUCGCCACCACCAUCGACGGCGGAAGGGAGUGGAGUCAGUCGCCGUUGGGCACCGUGCCUGCGCCAUCCUUCGAGCAUCAAGGGAGGACCGGACUGUGUCGUGGGAUCAUAAAUUUUGUGCUCUGGGGAGAAUCUGGGCAUAGGAAGCUUUGGGGGCACCGAAUUUCCUCAUCGGUGUGCAUCUCGCCCUGCUUUGCCGCACCACGACGAAGGCUGGGAUCUGUGCGUUCCAAUCGCCGAUAAUUAUCCCUCACCCAUGUUCGUUGUGGUCUCCUCAUCGUAUAUUACGGGUAGAAUUAGAGUUUAAUGCUUGGAUGCGGGGAAAUCGGGAGCUCACCGGCGCGCGCCGCCGUUCCUGGUCACUCGACUGGGGAAGAAGUAAUCGGAGGCGUGGGAUUGUGGGGAGGAUGGUCGAGAUUGAUGCUAGAUAGUCACUUCGCUCAUUGAAUCCCUACAGUAGGUCCUCUAAUGAAUGGUGCAAAUCGUGGGUGGAUUCUCUGCCGUCCAUCCGUAAUCCUGCGGGUAUCUUGAUGCACCGGGUCUGUUGCAGGGGGCGUCUAAUCGGGGCUGUUGCCUUUAGAUCCGGCGGCCCAGAUCACAUCAUACCGUUUCGGUAUGUGCAAUUUGUAAAAGAAACCCUGACCUUUGCGCAAAGAAACCCGCGGUACGUUCUGGUGACAGUCUGAGUCUCGGGGAUUUUAGUAGAUUAGCCCCUGUUGUCUCUAGAAUUUG
rnacentral:lncRNA from 7 species